UACGAAGGGGGCUAGCGUUGUUCGGAAUUACUGGGCGUAAAGCGCACGUAGGCGGACAUUUAAGUCAGGGGGUGAAAUCCCAGAGCUCAACUCUGGAACUGCCUUUUGAUACUGGGUGUCUUGAGUAUGGAAGAGGUGAGUGGAAUUCCGAGUGUAGAGGUGAAAUUCGUAGAUAUUCGGAGGAACACCAGUGGCGAAGGCGGCUCACUGGUCCAUUACUGACGCUGAGGUGCGAAAGCGUGGGGAGCAAACAGG
rnacentral:rRNA from 1 species